UGGGGAAUAUUGGACAAUGGGCGAAAGCCUGAUCCAGCCAUGCCGCGUGUGUGAAGAAGGUCUUCGGAUUGUAAAGCACUUUAAGUUGGGAGGAAGGGCAGUAAGCGAAUACCUUGCUGUUUUGACGUUACCGACAGAAUAAGCACCGGCUAACUCUGUGCCAGCAGCCGCGGUAAUACAGAGGGUGCAAGCGUUAAUCGGAAUUACUGGGCGUAAAGCGCGCGUAGGUGGUUCGUUAAGUUGAAUGUGAAAGCCCCGGGCUCAACCUUGCAACUGCACCCAAAACUGGCGAGCUAGAGUAGGGCAGAGGGUGGUGGAAUUUCCUGUGUAGCGGUGAAAAGCGUAGAUAUAGGAAGGAACACCAGUGGCGAAGGCGACCACCUGGGCUCAUACUGACACUGAGGUGCGAAAGCGUGGGGAGCAAACAGG
rnacentral:rRNA from 1 species